CUCGUGUCGUGAGAUGUUCGGUUAAGUCCGGCAACGAGCGCAACCCACAUCCUUAGUUGCCACCAUUCAGUUGGGCACUCUAGGGGAACUGCCCGUGAUAAGCGGGAGGAAGGUGUGGAUGACGUCAAGUCCUCAUGGCCCUUACGGGUUGGGCUACACACGUGCUACAAUGGUAGUGACAAUGGGUUAAUCCCAAAAAGCUAUCUCAGUUCGGAUUGGGGUCUGCAACUCGACCCCAUGAAGUCGGAAUCGCUAGUAAUCGCGGAUCAGCAUGCCGCGGUGAAUACGUUCCCAGGCCUU
rnacentral:rRNA from 1 species